GAUGAACGCUGGCGGCGUGCCUAAUACAUGCAAGUCGAGCGAACAGAUGAGGAGCUUGCUCCUCUGACGUUAGCGGCGGACGGGUGAGUAACACGUGGAUAACCUACCUAUAAGACUGGGAUAACUUCGGGAAACCGGAGCUAAUACCGGAUAAUAUAUUGAACCGCAUGGUUCAAUAGUUAAAGACGGUUUUGCUGUCACUUAUAGAUGGAUCCGCGCCGCAUUAGCUAGUUGGUAAGGUAACGGCUUACCAAGGCGACGAUGCGUAGCCGACCUGAGAGGGUGAUCGGCCACACUGGAACUGAGACACGGUCCAGACUCCUACGGGAGGCGGCAGUAGGGAAGCUUCCGGAAUGGGCGAAAGCCAGACGGAGCAACGCCGCGUGAGUGAUGAAGGUCUUCGGAUCGUAAAACUCUGUUAUUAGGGAAGAACAAAUGUGUAAGUAACUAUGCACGUCUUGACGGUACCUAAUCAGAAAGCCACGGCUAACUACGUG
rnacentral:rRNA from 1 species